rnacentral:sRNA from 1 species
AUCCGCUAGGCGGGGCUCAGGCAGGGGGCUUGCUUCUAGAGCGAGCGGACCCGGCCGAUCCCGCGAGGCGAGGUCGGAUGGUGGUGGCGGCCGUGAUGGUGCGGCGUGCGGGUCAUUGCGGGCGGGCUAUAGCGGAUAGGGCGGCGGGGGGGAAGGGGUGGCGGAUGGCAAG